rnacentral:lncRNA from 1 species
CAUUGAUAAUGCAACACUCCUUAUACAACACCCCAGUGGUAGAGUUGAUAAACUCUAUUGGCCUGUCACUGCUAACGAAAUUAUGAAAAUGAAUCCAGGCCAUUAUGUUGCUCUUCUUCUUACUACUACCACCUUGUGUCCGCCCACUAACCCCGCCUCCGCCACCGCCACCGCCACCGCCACCACAAACAGAAAUAACAGUGUAAGCAAAAAUACUGGUAAUAUGCCAGUCCGUAUAACGCGGAUUAAGCUUCUCAAGC